AUAGUUUUCUUAACAUAGGUUCCAAGAAGCUUCAUGCAAUCGUCCCCAGCUCCAGAAAGUGACAGCUCCAAAAAUUGAAGCUUUGAAAACUUGGGAAUGAAGUUCAAAAAUUCUCCAUAGUAUUUGCUAUCACUGGAAUAACCAAGCACUAACGUCUUCAAGUCCUUAAAAUUUUUGAAAAACCGUAAGAAUCAUUCUCGUUUCUUAAAACAUUGAUGUGUAUUUUCUUAGUUUCUUACCGGAAUCUUUAAUCCAGCUAAUCGGAGCACAUUGAUAUUUCCUCUCCAACAUUUAAGGUCCAAUGUUCGUAGUUCUUCCAACACAACUGUGGCUGAAAUUGAUGGAUUAAAACAAACACUUUACAGGGUAAAACAAAAAUGACUAACUUACGCAAAUGCUCAAACGGACUGCUCGUGUUUUCCUCUAAAUCCGGUGAGCCCAUACCGACUUUUUUAUGAAAGUAAUUUUCAUUGUCCAAAAUAAAAUCAACGCAGAUUUUCGACAGCGACCUAACACUUUUAACUCGCGGCAUUUCAACUGAAAUUUCGAUUGAGUGUAGGCAGUACGCGCAACACCAAAGUUCCUUGACAAAUUUUUUGGCAGGCUUGACUUAAAAGUACCGUAAGAAUAAAUGACCGAAAGACUUCUGAUGGAAUCUUUAAAACGUAUAGGUGACUAAGUCACCUUUGUUGUCCUUCAAAAAAAGAAGAGCAUUAUCAAUCCUCGUGGGAGUGUUACACAUAGUUCCCCGUUUGCUGGACAAGGUGACGAUGCAAGUUCAAGGGUAAACAUUGGUAGGGGAAGAGUCUCAUAUUGAUAAAUUGAGAUUGCUCUAGGGAGAUGAUCAGUUUUGACAUUGGAAACAAUUUGUUUCUAGUUGACAUAUGGUAACAAAGUUUGGAAAUUUUUUUCUUGUUUGUGCUAUUAGUGUCUAUUUUGUAUGUUAACGAAAUAAUUUUUUACAGACUGGGUGGAUGGGCAUUGACGCGACAUCCGUGUAACAAAGGACAAUCUGAUUGAAAAAUUACAUACGAAAUAUCUCUUUGAGUUCGCGCCCUUCUCGACUGCCAAUGUGCCAUUCGGGAAAAAAGGUUGUUGAAAUUGAAUCAAUGGAAAAAAAUAUCAUUUAAUUUUAAAUAAUUAAUUUUGUUUAAUCGGCAAGAAUUAUUACGUUUUUUAUAUUCAUGUAAAAUGGUAUUUUCUGUUAUAAAUUUAUCAUACACCUGUAGAUCAGUUUUUCUGUUGUGGCAACGUAGCAAGCCACUUUCAAUUUUACUUCAAGCAUUUUUUGUGCAAACAAGUGGUUUCUGCCGUCCACGUUUAGUUUUGUUUAGACUCUUAAUUUUGAGUGUUUGAAGGUAUGAGAUUUUAAGGUGGUAAGGAGAUUGGAAUGUCGUGGGAUAACGGAUUAUUCAGACCUGGAUUUCCCAAGACAGAGUCCUUUGAAAACCCAUACAACACCCAACGGCUAGUGGGAGACUUUACCCCAUUUUACAUCACUAUUGCAAUCUGCACAGUGUUCUUUGCCAUUAUCUUGAUCUUGAACAUUAUCUGUUGCUGUUCUGAACGUUACAAGAGCUACUGGCAGGAUCCACACACAGGCAAUCGUUGGAUUCUCUCUCUUUGGGUCACAUCACCAAAAUACCAACCACCUCUAACAGUUUAACUGAGAGCUGUACCUCAAAAUGUUUCACGUGUAUUGGCCUACAUUGGCAGUUGUUGCCUUGUUUGUUGUUUGUGUAAUUGUGUUGAUUUUACGUUUCUCCGACAAGUGGUGCGGCGCUAGACACAGCACUUUGCCUGCUGUUGGGGCGUACGAAUCCACCGAAGACAUGGAAAUGGUAGCUUACGACCAUAGCGUCCACACUGAAAAGGAAUUUGCCGUAUAAUUUUAGAUUCUGUUUGUUAGAGAGAGAUGUAGCUACAUUCCACACCUACUGAAUCCGUCCACCAUGCCUUCACAAUUAUCUGACAUUCGAAGGAUUAUCUUUUUUACAUUUUUAAAUCUACCUGUAACGUCCUAUUGACGAAUCUCAAAUAAAACACAUUCUGGAGAUUA